CACUCCUACGGGAGGCAGCAGUGGGGAAUAUUGGACAAUGGGCGCAAGCCUGAUCCAGCCAUGCCGCGUGAGUGAUGAAGGCCCUAGGGUUGUAAAGCUCUUUCACCGGUGAAGAUAAUGACGGUAACCGGAGAAGAAGCCCCGGCUAACUUCGUGCCAGCAGCCGCGGUAAUACGAAGGGGGCUAGCGUUGUUCGGAUUUACUGGGCGUAAAGCGCACGUAGGCGGACUAUUAAGUCAGGGGUGAAAUCCCGGGGCUCAACCCCGGAACUGCCUUUGAUACUGGUAGUCUUGAGUUCGAGAGAGGUGAGUGGAAUUCCGAGUGUAGAGGUGAAAUUCGUAGAUAUUCGGAGGAACACCAGUGGCGAAGGCGGCUCACUGGCUCGAUACUGACGCUGAGGUGCGAAAGCGUGGGGAGCAAACAGGAUUAGAAACCCUGGUAGUCCCA
rnacentral:rRNA from 1 species